ACCGUCUACACCUCCGACCCCGCAGCGGAGGCUGGGAGGAUGGAGGCUAUUAUGGAGGAGCUGAGGGAUUACGAG
rnacentral:snoRNA from 1 species